GACCAUCCUCCAAGGCUAAAUACUCCUGACUGACCGAUAGUGAACCAGUACCGUGAGGGAAAGGUGAAAAGCACCCCGACGAGGGGAGUGAAACAGUUCCUGAAACCGAACGCCUACAAGCAGUCGGAGGCUCCAUGCGAGCUGACGGCGUACCUUUUGUAUAAUGGGUCAUCGACUUGGUCUCACGAGCAAGCUUAAGCCGUUAGGUGUAGGCGCAGCGAAAGCGAGUCUGAAUAGGGCGACCGAGU
rnacentral:rRNA from 1 species